rnacentral:rRNA from 1 species
CCUACGGUGGGCAGCAGUGAGGAAUAUUGGUCAAUGGGAGAGAUCCUGAACCAGCCAAGCCGCGUGCGGGAAGACGGCCCUCUGGGUUGUAAACCUCUUUUGUCGGAGAACAAAAUCCGGGACGUGUCCCGUACUGCGUGUAUCCGACGAAAAAGCAUCGGCUAACUCCGUGCCAGCAGCCGCGGUAAUACGGAGGAUGCGAGCGGUAUCCGGUUUUAUUGGGUUUAAAGGGUGCGUAGGCUGUCCGUUAAGUCAGCGGUAAAAUUGCGGGGCUCAACCCCGUCGAGCCGGUGAAACUGGCAGACUAGAGUUGGCGAGAGGUACGCGGAAUGCGCGGUGUAGCGGUGAAAGGCAUAGAUAGCGCGCAGAACUCCGAUUGCGAAGGCAGCGUACCGGCGCGAGACUGACGCUGAGGCACGAAAGCGUGGGGAUCGAACAGGAUUAGAUACCCGAGUAGUC